UUGCUCAGGUCUUGCCUCAUGUUCUACGAAUUAAUCUUCCGCCUUUUACUAAAGAUUACCGUGGGGUGGACACUCCAAUGAGCUAUAGGCUAAUUUUUGGGCAGGCCGCACCCGUGUGUGCGAG